CUGGUCGCCGGCUUCUUAAGGGACUAUCGGCUCUGCCCAUGGAAAUUUGAGGCAAUAACCGGGCUGUGAUGCCCUUAAAUGUUCUGGGCCGCACGCGCGCUACACUGACAGAGCCAACGAGUUCAUUUCCUUGUCCGAAAGGUCUGGGUAAUCUUGUUAAACUCUGUCGUGCUGGGGAUAGAGCAUUGCAAUUAUUGCUCUUCAACGAGGAAUGCCUAGUAAGCGCAUGUCAUCAGCAUGCGUUGAUUACGUCCCUGCCCUUUGUAACACCGCCCGUCGCUACUACCGAUUGAAUGGCUAAA
rnacentral:rRNA from 1 species